GACGAACGCUGGCGGCGUGCUUAACACAUGCAAGUCGAACGGAAAGGCCCUGCUUUUGUGGGGUGCUCGAGUGGCGAACGGGUGAGUAACACGUGAGUAACCUGCCCUUGACUUUGGGAUAACUUCAGGAAACUGGGGCUAAUACCGGAUAGGAGCUCCUGCUGCAUGGUGGGGGUUGGAAAGUUUCGGCGGUUGGGGAUGGACUCGCGGCUUAUCAGCUUGUUGGUGGGGUAGUGGCUUACCAAGGCUUGGACGGGUAGCCGGCCUGGGAGGGUGACCGGCCACAUUGGGACUGGGAUACGGCCCGGACUCAUACGGGAGGCAGCAGUGGGGAAUAUUGCACAAUGGGCGGAGGCCUGAUGCAGCAACGCCGCGUGCGGGAUGACGGCCUUCGGGUGGUAAACCGCUUUCGCCUGUGACGAAGCGUGAGUGACGGUAAUGGGUAAAGAAGCACCGGCUAACUACGU
rnacentral:rRNA from 1 species